UGGCAUCGGGAGGCAGAGGCUCAAGUACCGAAAGCUCAUCAACAGCCAUGUUGCAGAGAGUUUUUUCUCACAGCAGUUUACUGACGGUCAUUGCCUCUGGUUAUCGUCACUGCUUGUGUGCUGAUAAUUCUCCUUGCUUGAAGUUUUGCCGAUCUGCAGAACCCACAGUUGGACCUGGAUGGGAAGGCCUGCGCUGCCGUCGGCCAGAGUGGCCUCAUGGCUAUCUACGAUACACUGUUUAGCCAACUUGAUGUGACAUUGUCUCAGCUUCUUGUUAUAGAUCGUGAUUUCCGGGAUCCAAGUUUUGGGCUCCAGCUUCAUGAGACUGAAUUUUGUUCAAGGUAAAACCAGCCAAGCCGGAGAUUGCUACAAUCCUAAUUUCUUUUGCAAUAUAUAGUUGAGAGGACUCGCCCCUGCUACUGUCACUAUGGUUUCUAUUGCCGAUUAUAAAAAUUAUAUUCUUCUAUGCUUUAGUGAAGUUGGGAGGAAAGUGUUGUGGAAAGGCAGAAGCUUUUGUAGUUGUGUUGUUCUUAAUAAUGGCAUUGAAGGCCCAAAAACAUAGAUUUGGACAGGUUUUAUCUAUGUAAAAAACACAAAAAAAGAGCUGCAUGAUAUUUGUUUCUCCUGGAGUUUCUUCUUAUCAAAUAAUUCAAAUCUAAUUUACACUUCAUAAAAUAUUACAUGUCAGACUCUGAAACUUGUUGAAAACAAUGCUUGUUUGGUUGUAGAAAAACAAAGCAGUUUUCUGAACCCUGCUACUAUCACUAUGGUUGCUAUUUUCAUUUUUGUUGCAGAACAGUUCUCUCAUGGUGUUUCUAUUAGCUGCGAGGAACGUUGGGCUAGCUUUUGUCUUGAGUCUCUUAGGUGUUAUUGAGAGGUUGUACUUGCCAGUGAGCUAAAUGGCCCGUUGGAACAAUGUGACUGCUUGUUUGACCUUUUAAAAUGGUUUGGUGGUGCAGAUAAGUUUGGUCACAGCCCAUUGGAUUUAGAUUUUAGGAGCCGUGUGAAACAAUUUCUUAGGUAGGUUUUCUUUUUCUUAGGCAGGGCAUAUAGGUAGCAUGGGAAA